rfam:Aedes albopictus isolate Foshan contig53023, whole genome shotgun sequence.
UAGCCUAGUGGUAAGGCUUUGGAUCGCCAAUCCGGAGACGGCGGGUUCGAUUCCCGU